rnacentral:rRNA from 1 species
AGAGGAAGUGAACACAGGUGCUGCAUGGCUGUCGUCAGCUCGUGUCGUGAGAUGUUGGGUUAAGUCCCGCAACGAGCGCAACCCUUGUCUUUAGUUGCUACGCAAGAGCACUCUAAAGAGACUGCCGGUGACAAACCGGAGGAAGGUGGGGAUGACGUCAAGUCCUCAUGGCCCUUAUGGGUAGGGCUUCACACGUCAUACAAUGGUGCAUACAGAGGGUUGCCAACCCGCGAGGGGGAGCUAAUCUCAGAAAAUGCAUCGUAGUCCGGAUCGUAGUCUGCAACUCGACUACGUGAAGCUGGAAUCGCUAGUAAUCGCGGAUCAGAAUGUCGCGGUGAAUACGUUCCCGGGUCUUGUACACACCGCCCGUCAUACCAUGGGAGUGGGUUUUGCCAGAAGCCGUUAGCCUAACCGCAAGGAG